rnacentral:rRNA from 1 species
CCUACGGGGGGCAGCAGUGAGGAAUCUUGGUCAAUGGGCGCAAGCCUGAACCAGCCAAGUAGCGUGAAGGAUGACUGCCCUAUGGGUUGUAAACUUCUUUUAUAUGGGAAUAAAAUGUUCCACGUGUGGGAUUUUGUAUGUACCCUAUGAAUAAUGAUCGGCUAACUCCGUUCCAGCCGCAGCGGUAAUACGUAGGCGCCGAGCGUUAUCCGGAUUUAUUGGGUUUAAAGGGCGCGUAGGUGGAUUGGUAAGUCAGUUGUGAAAGUGUGCGGCUCAACCGGAAAAUUGAAGUUGAAACUGGCAGUCUUGAGUACAGUAGAGGGGAGCGGAAUUCGCGGUGUAGCGGUGAAAUGCGUAGAUAUCACGAAGAACUCCGAUUGCGAAGGCAGUUCACUGGACUGCAACUGACACUGAGGCUCGAAAGUGUGGGUAUCAAACAGGAUUAGAUACCCCUGUAGUC